rnacentral:rRNA from 1 species
GACGAACGCUGGCGGCGUGCCUAACACAUGCAAGUCGAACGGAACGGUUUUGAAAGAUUUCUUCGGAAUUAAUUUGAUUUAGUUUAGUGGCGGACGGGUGAGUAACGCUUUAGUAACCUGCCUUCAAGAGGGGAAUAACAUUCUGAAAAGAAUGCUAAUACCGCAUGACAUAUCGGAACCACAUGGUUUUUAUAUCAAAGAUUUUAUCGCUUGAAGAUGGACUCGCGUCCGUUUAGUUAGUUGGCGAGGUAACGGCUCACCAAGACCGCGAUCGGUAGCCGGAAGGAGAGGUUGAACGGCCAAAUGGGGACUGAGACACGGCCCAGACUCCUACGGGAGGCAGCAGUGGGGGAUCUUGCGAAAUCGGGGCAACCCUGACGCAGCAACGCAGCGUGAAGGAUGAAGGUUUUCGGAUUGUAAAAUUCUUUUAUUAAGGACGAAAAAUGACGGUACUUAAUGAAUAAGCCCCGGCUAACUACGUG